UCCUUAAAAUGACUGGCGCAAUGUCUGGAGGGAGUAUGGCAGCCUUUCUUCUCCGGGAGCUGCUGGUUCAGAGCGAACGGCGGGAAGAGCGCUGCGAGAAUAUUUAUACAGCUAACUGAGGGUUUGACCAGGCGAUGUUUGGAGUGACCCGAUGAUCCAACGGCGGAGGAAGAGUGUGAAAUCAACUGUUUACGAUAAAUAGAAAGGAAAUCAUCAGUUUCAUCCUUUCAAUGAAGCCAUGAUUCUCCACAUCUCCAGACGCAGUGGGGCGUCUCUCCCCGUCGGUUUUACUCUGAGCAGCGCUACCACACUGUCCACCGAUCUGUGUCCACUGUUCCAACAACUCCGCUCAGCACCAUUUAAAGCAGACAGCGGUGUCAGUUUGUUCAACAACCUGCAGACAGUCUCUCCUAAAGAUACAUGCAGUCAUACUGAUGCAGAGGGAGAACGACACAUGGCAGCUGUGACUGGACCAAUCAGCUCCACAGAAAUACACAACCCAAGCAAAUUCAUGCAAAACUCUUAGAGAUUAUUAAUUUACUCCUUGUAAUUGAGUUGAUAAUUCAGGCUAAGACACGGUUUUGUCUUGAAUGCAUUUUGUUUUACGGCGGGUCUUUGAAAUAUUUAGGUCUAUGGAUGCUGUGGAAUCCAUUUAAACUGCAAAAUCACAACAUUUUUGCAAGUAUAUUUAGUUUCAACUGCAAAUAUCUUU